GGUACUGGGCGGUGGAGGUGCUUGGCCUGCCAGGCUCCUGCUCGGGACUGUGGCCGAGGGCUUGGGCAGCUGGGAUGACGCAGGACCGAGGGGUGGCCUGGGCAGAGCGCUGGGCAUGCUGGGGGGGAUUGUGUGGGUGGUGCAGGGGAGGAGGUGACUGGAGGGGUAGGGGCAAGGCUGGACCCCAGGGCUGAGGGAAGGUGGACAGGGCGCCGGCCUGCGGGCUAAGCAGGGACUAAAGACUGAACUGCGCUCUGAAGAGGAAAAGAAUGGGGUAGGGAGUGAGUGGCUCAGUGGGAUGCACUGGCCCUGGGUUCUUUGAGCAUUAGGGCUGGGGGCGUGGAUUAGAACUGGAGCCCCACAGAGUAGGAGCAAGGGGCUGAACCCCUUCUUUUUCGCUUUUGAGUAGGAGCCAGCCCCCGGGCGGAGCUGAGGGAGGGCUGGUUAGAGUGCGGGGGUGGGCAGGGCGCCGCCUCAGGCUUGGCAAGGUCGGGUGGGCCGAGUGGGCGCUGUCUUUGGCGAGUGCUGUCUUGGUGGCUGUGAUCUGGCGACACGAGCGCUUCUCUGAUUCUGCAGAGGCGGCUCCCCAGGGCCAGGAGACAGCGGAGAUCACCGACUUCCAGAGGGCCUCCCCAAGCUCCUGAAGCCGCGGCUGGGCGGGGACUGAAGCGCCCCGUUGUGAUGGGGAGGGGGCGGCAGAAGGGGAAAUUUCUGGAUCUCCAGGCUGUGUUCUCCACCCAGGAGCCCACUCGGGACCCCACGGCUCGAGGGAGAGGGAGACGUAGGAGGUGGCGGAGUUGCUGGGGAGGGGCGUGGUCAAGGUGAAGGGAGGGGCUGGACCCUCGGCUCGAGGUCAGACUUCAGGACACCUGAGCCUCGGCUCGCUGUAGAGGGGAAGCAGGUGCCCUAGGGGGCGGGGUCAGGCUGCCCGGGAGGGGCCCGAAUUUAGGUGGGUGGAGUUGGGUUAGGGGCGUGGCUAGGCCUACGCUGCAGGGCUGGAUGGGGCCUCCCUGUGCUGGUAUUGGGCAGGACCCCCGUUAGGGGUGUGGUCCGAAAGCCGUGCUGGAGUCAAGGGCUAGACGGAGUGGGAAAGCUGGAAGGGAAAGAGGACCAGGUUCGGAGGCUGGAGCUGAUAGUCCGAUUGGAAGAAAGGGCACUUAGGUCUGAGACAGAGUGGGGCUAAAGCACGAGGCGAGGUUGACCUGGAAAGGGGGUGGGAAGGAGGCGGAGCUAGGUGCUUGGGUGAGGUCCGAGGCCGGAAAGUUGACCCACUUUAGACAGGGAGAGAAAAACCGGAGGGCGGAGCUACAUUCAGGGGCGGGGCGGAGGGGGCCGGGUUAGGACGCCUUAGUUGGAUAGCGGUUGGCUCGAGGCAGGAGGGGGCGUGGUCAAACGCGGGGGGGCGGGCACCCUGCGGGGGCGGGGCUUGUGGAGGACGCGCAGCGGGGCCGAGUGGGCUGCGGCGAUGCGGGGCACGAGCUGUGUGGGCGGCGGCGGCGAGAGCCCCGGCGGCUCGGGACUGAGCGAGGGCCCUCGGGCCCGCUGGCUCCGCCUGG